rnacentral:lncRNA from 1 species
GCGUGUGGAGUGUACAUGGGAUCUAAGGUUCGAGUGGUGGCACAUCAAAAAGGGGGUAUUUAUUUUGCUGCCUAAUUCAUGUGGGUGGUAGAGUUGGAUUGAAAUACUGUUAAAUGGAGUUUGAACUGUUCAUAAAGAGAAUUGUGGAGGGAUAUUUGGAGAGAUUUGAGGAGAGAAUAUUGGGAUUUGGGGAGGUUGUUGUUGUG